GUGUCCGCCUGUCAAUAAAGAUUGAACAAGCGCCGGGCCGGGGGCGCGCGGGCGGGCGCGUUUUGUUGGGCUUUUUUUUUCUUCUUCUUUUUUUUUUCCCUUCUUCCUUCCCCUUCUUCGAACAAACUUUAUUGUUCCGGCGGCGCCGCGCGCGCGCGAUGCGCUGAGGCCGCCGCGCUCGGCCCCACUCCGCCCGGCCCGGCCUCGGCAUGUCGGGCAGCCGCCCGCCGCCGCACCCCGCCGCGCCGCCCGCCGCCCCGGCCUCCUCCUCUUCUUCCUCCUCCUCCUCGUCCGCGGCCAUGGCGCCCGGCUCGUCCUCCUCGGGUGGCGCGGCGGCGCGGCCCGUGCUGGUGGCGGCCGCCGUGUCGGGCUCGGGCGCGGCGGCGGGCGCGGGGCUGGCCCGGCUGGCGGCGGCGGCGCGGCCCGGCGGCGGCUCCUCGGGAGGCGGCGGGGCGGGAGGCGGGGGCAGGAAGAGGCCGCUGCUCACCCCGCUCUGCAACGGGCUGCUCAACUCCUACGAGGACAAGAGCAACGACUUCGUGUGUCCCAUCUGCUUUGAUAUGAUUGAAGAAGCCUACAUGACAAAAUGUGGACACAGCUUCUGCUACAAAUGUAUUCACCAGAGCUUGGAGGACAACAACAGAUGUCCUAAAUGUAAUUAUGUUGUGGACAACAUAGAUCAUCUUUAUCCCAACUUCUUAGUCAAUGAACUUAUUCUUAAACAAAAACAAAGAUCUGAGGAGAAAAGAUUCAAACUGGACCAUUCAGUGAGUAGCACCAAUGGCCACAGGUGGCAGAUAAUUCAAGAUUUGUUGGGAACUGAUCAAGACAAUCUUGACUUGGCUAAUGUCAACCUGAUGCUGGAGCUGCUGGUGCAAAAGAAGAAGCAAUUAGAAGCAGAGUCCCAUGCUGCCCAGCUGCAGAUCCUUAUGGAAUUUCUCAAAGUUGCCAGAAGAAACAAACGAGAGCAACUGGAACAGAUCCAGAAGGAGCUAAGUGUUCUGGAAGAAGAUAUUAAACGAGUAGAGGAAAUGAGUGGCUUGUACUCCCCAGUCAGUGAGGACAGUACGGUGCCGCAGUUUGAAGCUCCCUCACCUUCGCACAGUAGUAUUAUUGACUCCACGGAGUACAGCCAGCCUCCAGGCUUCAGUGGCAGUUCUCAGGCCAAAAAGCAGCCAUGGUAUAACAGCACGCUAGCCUCGCGACGGAAGCGGCUUACAGCUCACUUUGAGGACCUGGAGCAGUGCUAUUUUUCCACAAGGAUGACACGUGUCUCAGAUGACAGCAGAACCACAAGCCAGCUGGAUGAGUUUCAGGAGUGUCUAUCCAAGUUCACGCGCUACAAUUCUGUCCGACCCCUGGCAACGCUGUCCUACGCUAGUGACCUCUACAAUGGCUCCAGCAUAGUCUCCAGUAUUGAGUUUGACCGGGACUGUGACUACUUUGCCAUCGCUGGGGUGACAAAGAAGAUUAAAGUCUAUGAAUAUGGUACAGUCAUUCAGGAUGCAGUGGAUAUUCACUACCCUGAGAAUGAAAUGACCUGUAAUUCCAAAAUCAGCUGUAUCAGCUGGAGUAGUUACCACAAGAACCUGCUAGCCAGCAGUGACUAUGAAGGCACAGUCAUCCUGUGGGAUGGGUUCACGGGACAAAGAUCCAAGGUCUACCAGGAGCAUGAGAAAAGGUGCUGGAGUGUUGACUUCAACUUGAUGGACCCAAAGCUAUUAGCUUCAGGCUCUGAUGAUGCAAAAGUGAAGCUGUGGUCUACCAAUUUGGACAACUCCGUAGCAAGCAUUGAAGCCAAGGCGAACGUGUGUUGUGUCAAAUUCAGCCCCUCUUCUAGAUACCAUCUAGCCUUUGGCUGUGCAGAUCACUGUGUCCACUAUUAUGAUCUUCGCAACACUAAGCAACCCAUCAUGGUGUUCAAAGGGCAUCGCAAGGCGGUCUCCUAUGCAAAAUUUGUGAGUGGGGAGGAAAUAGUCUCUGCGUCAACAGACAGCCAGCUGAAGCUGUGGAACGUGGGGAAACCUCACUGCUUGCGCUCCUUCAAGGGCCACAUCAAUGAGAAGAAUUUUGUAGGGCUGGCGUCCAACGGAGACUACAUUGCCUGUGGAAGCGAAAAUAAUUCCCUUUACCUAUACUAUAAGGGCCUCUCAAAAACACUCCUGACAUUCAAGUUUGAUACAGUCAAGAGCGUCCUGGACAAGGACCGGAAGGAAGAUGACACAAAUGAAUUUGUGAGUGCUGUCUGCUGGAGGGCACUACCAGAUGGGGUUUUAAAAAAACAAGAGCAUCCCAAUGCAAUCAGCAAUUGCAUUGGUAUGGUACACACCGUGAGCUGAGGAAGCAAAGAAGUCUCUGUGCAGCUGUCAUUAUACUUUCCUCUGCAGUGCUGCUGUUGGACCCUUGGCCUGAAGUCUGAUAGAUGUCCUGCUGAGCUGUCAAGACACUGAAUCCAAUGACUGAUAGAGGUGUUGGUUGGUUGGUUGGUCAGAUGGUGCCUAGAAACCUACUUACAGUGAGUUGUAGGCUUCUCUUUUGCCAGGCUUGUUCUCGUUCUUGUCUUUGUGAGAGAGCUCAGCCUCAUGAGGUUUUCACCCUCUAUGGCACUAGGGCUUAAAGAUGUUAGGCUUGCUUUCUGAACUCGCAGAGUUUGGAUAGGAAGGCCUAUCCUUAUUUUUUUUAUUAUUUUUUUAAAUAGUGCUGCUGCCCCCCUUCUCAUCUCUGUACGCUGAAUUCUGUAAGUCACUGUUGGCAUGAAACAGAGGAGGUGUGUAGGUACCAGAGCUGGAAUAUACCUACUGUAUUGACUGAUCUCAAGCUCUGACAAAAGCUGCUCUCCUCUCCAAAUUUGUCAUGAAGACUACCUGAGCAACCACUGUUACCCUUUCCCCUGUUCAGUUCAUCUGGCUUUUGUUAUGGAAGUGCCAUCUACUUUGAAGUCUCUGAUUGGCACGAAGUGAGAUGUGACUCCUUCAGCCAGUUCUCAGCAAGCUAGGCAGCAGUCAGUCCGUGUUUAGUGAAGCAUCUCCCAUUUACGAUGGGAACUGCAGGGGUCAAGUUCCCAUCUCAGCACUAAAGGAAGAGCCUGGUUUCAGAGCAGGUUGUGAGCAGCCCUUGGCACUGGGCUCACCACUGCCUUUGAAACCAGCUUCAGUGGAGCAGCGCAGUUCCUGCACCGAGGGUGUCUGAAACCUCACUGCUGGUGUUCCUCUCUCACUGCUGCUGGAAGGUGGUUUUAUAACCUCACCCCCUUUAACAAGUGCCACUGCUUCAGUCAAAGCAACCUCAGGGUACUCUUUUUCUCAUUCUCUGGCACACCUGCUGAUGGUGAGUUCUGCCAGGUCACCGCCGUUCCGUUGUUGCAGUUCAUAAGCUGCACCAACCUUUUGCUCUGGUGCUCCCAAUUAAGCAUUUGUACUGGCAAGGAUUUAAUGUUUUACGGAGUCCAAAUGAAGUGGAAAAAAUAUGAAAUGAUUUUUUUUUUCUUCCUGGCACAAGAUUUUGAUCAGAUGAUUUAAUCUCUGGGUGAAAGGGAAGUGGAAGCAUUUAUGCACAGGUGGUUUUGUCUGCAAAAGCUUUGCUUUAUGUAGGUCUCUACAGUAACAGUUACUGCUUGGCUUUGGAACAACUGUUCUGAAGGUUUCCUUAUGCUUUUUGCACUUCCAUUAUCAAUAGCAAAAACCCUAAAAACCUUGCAGUGUGUGACCAGCUCAGUGUCAAUCACAUCGCCUGCUGGUAGAGGAAGAAUUAAGGCCUUUGUGGUGCUGGUUUUCCACCAGCAAAAAGGAUUGAUGCAUCUCCCUCAGACAUAGGGUUUGAAUUUUGUGUGGUCCUUUGUGGAGCCAGGAGUUGGACUCGAUGGUACUUAUUGGGUUCCUACCAACUCAGGAAUGAAUUAAUCUCUAACCUACUGAAAUAAGACUACUUUUCUUUCUGCUGUUGUCCCAGCCUAAUUCUCACUGAGGGCAGAUGAGCGAGCUACCUGCAUGCAGUGGUCACCCCAGCAAUGAAUCCAACUGCCUGGCUGUGUAAUUAGACCGUGUAAUUAUUGUAUGUAGAGUACAUACAGAAUUAUACUAAUCAGCCUUGCCUGAGGAAGAGAAUCCAGUACAGCUGGAAAAUUACGCUUAGUAAGUUAAUGGAUACCUUGUAGAUGGGAGUGGUGCUGUUAGUGAAGGUUGUGCAGCUCCACAGGGCUAUGCUCAUCCUUACACGAGGCACUCUGAAUUCUGCAGGGGAGGUCUUCAAGCAGUUGUACCUCUCUUACGUUAGUGCCCAUCGCCAUCACUUCCUGAGCUCUUACCUAGUCGCUAAAGCUGUAGAAAAGUAAGCUGUUUGCUGCAGCGUUGGAUUUUCUAGAUUUAUUUAGGAUGUCUGAAAUGAAUAUUAAGAGGUGCAGCCUGGGGAGCAGGCAGAUAGAACUGCAUUGUUUUCCACUUCUAAUAAUGAGAGAUUCUGGAGGGAAGAUAAGCAAUAUUGCAUGUACAAGGAGGAAAGAUUGGUUCAGAUCCACUUAAAGGGAAAAAAAGAAGUAAUAAUAAUAAUUCCUCUUACCUGUAAUCUGCAGAUAGCAUUAUAAAUUAAUUGCAGCAGGAGGAGGAGAAGCUGCAUCUCUUUAUACUACCCCACUAACAGGGACUCCACAUCCUCAGCCAAGCCUCCAGCGUAAAGCAGCAUACAUGAUUAUUUUUCCUCUCUUGUUUCCUGGUUGAUCAAUUUGAUUAUCUGAGCCCUUGUUCUUCCAGGAAAAAAUGUUUCUACCAAGCAGGCUUCUCUGGCCAAGUUUGUUCUCCUGACCACAGCAUGAUGAAAAGCCUGUCUUGUCUGAGAAGUAUGUGCUCGUGGAAAGCUGUGAUCGUUUAGAGCGAAAUAUCCUUGAUUAAAGUAGGAGGUUAAUGGUGCUUCUGUAUGUGCCUUGGUUUAGAACAUGCACGUUAGCUCCAGCAUUUGAAGGGAUGAAUUUGAGCCAGCAGCAGUUUGAAAAAAAGAGAAAAUGAGCUGGAAGUGAAAUACAAAUGUCCUUAUUUAGUACAAAAGAAUUCAUCUCUCUGUAGGCUUUCUGUAUUCGUUAGGUUCUUGCUUGACUUGACAAUGCAAAAGGAGAAAUUUAAACUCUUGGAAACUCUUUGAAAAUGUGAAGUAAAGCAGGAGUUAGCAGCUUGUGGAACUUUUGUUCUGGUGCUGCAGCCUGCAUUGGGAAUGCACAGGGUGGCUUUGUUUCAAGAUGCGAGGGGAUGUAUUUACCUUACAAAGAGUGAGCAGAGUCACGCUGUGAAAAUCGCUCUGCUGAUGCUCAGAUGUUUGUAUAAGAAAAAUACUGCUCUAAAGAUUUCUUUUAGAUAAAUGUUUGGAUAGGUGUACGGUGACGGGGUGAGGAGAUGCAGCUGUCUGGCAGCAACUUUCCCAGUAUCCUGGAACGGACCUCUGCAGUCAUCCUGUGGCUCUCAGAAUGAUGCUCCUUGCUUUCCCCAGGAGCAGAGCAGGCUGAACAUACAGGUGGGACCAGGGCUGCCUCCUUGUAAGCCCACAGCACAAUUCUCAGCUUUUGAUAGUCAUUCUGAACUGGAAUUAUAGCUCCCUCCCCACUGCAGAACAGGUGAUAGCUCGUGUUUGUGCAGGCUCUUAAGGCUUCCAUUCUCCUUUACGAGCAGGUUGAAAGUGGUUUUAUGAUGUUGACAAGUUUGUUCUCAGCCAGGCAGGGGCUCCUGUAUUAAUUUCAGAUAACACGUAGAUGUGGAAUUGGAGUCCCUCUCACUAUAAAUAAAAGGGGAUGAAGUAAUGAACCUGUUGCACGCUGAGCCGCGUUGUCUCUGUCCCUUACCCUGUGUGUGUGCUGCGUGUGGCUUUUUGGAGGCCGUUUCUUCCUGUAUCAUUUAUUUCCUCCCUGGAUGCAGUAGCUAGGGCGGGCGAUGAUCAUGAACUCUUUGCAGGAGCUGUCUUUCUGCUGAUGAUGUAGCAGAGCACGUAGUUUUGCUGUGACAGGAAAUAAGUUGUGCUUAGUCCUGGCACAGAACAGUUGUUAUCUUCAGAUUGACUGUACUUGGUCCUAUAUUUCUUCCCAUCUCUGCUCUGAGUUGCUCUCAGGUUCCAGCAGCCCGUGAGGAAGCAGCAGGUACCCGCUCCAGAGCCGUGAUGCACAUGAAGGGAUGAGCAAGCAGCAGCAUCUCUGCAGAAAGAGUAUUUAAAAGGCAGUAAUAGAGGGAGGAGGAAGCAGAUUAGGUUAAAAAAAAUGAAAUAUAACUGAUCAAAUGCCGGAAGCAUUUGCUGUCUCCUCUCAUCAGCACAGCUCAGGUGUGUAGCCCCCUACUUACGUUGCUGAAGGAUAUAAAAUCAGAGGUACUGUGCGUCCCAGCACCAGGGGCUCAGUCACUCCUGUAAUUCCAGUAGUAUGUAAUACAAUUUUUUCUUUAUAUGCUUGAAUCCUUUUAAAUGUCCUUGCUGCUAUUAGUGUCGUUGGUGGCUUAAUGGAUUUCUUGGUAGCUGAGCUCCUCUUUUUGAUACAGUUUUGUUAAUCUGCGCGUGUGUUCAGAAAGACAGUGUGUAAAAAUCACUCCUUUCAAUUUGAGAUAUCUGGAGAUAAUUUUUAUACCCACUGUGUGAAAAUAACUUGAACAGUAGUAGAAUUAUCCAUUGUAAGAGAGGUGAUUUUGCUUGUGAAUUGGGUUUAAAGAUAAAAUCUCCCCCGUUCCUGGGACCUGGAUUUCCUAUUCAUUGCUCUCUGUUAAGAUUAAUCGGGAGCAAGGCUUAAUCCAGAGGGUGAUUGAAUUGUCCUUAAACAGUGAUGUAGAACAUUACCCACUUUAUCGAAAUCCUUUUACAGUCUUGCAGUGCUAAGAAAUCACGGGCCUGUGAGCUGCUUGUGAUGUGCACCACGUGAAGGAGGACGCUGCUGCUUCAUUUGCUGCCUCUUUGGAAAGAAAAAUGUUUUCUGAGUGUUUUUGUACUACAGUUGUUGUAACUUUUAAGAAUUAAUGCCUUCUGUAGCUCCUCUUUUUCAGCAAGAAGUGUGUAGAGUCUGUAGCUUGUCUUAAAUCUCCAGUUAUAGAACACAGUGAUGAUAUCUAGAGGCUCAUUUGCCCCUUUUGGAGGCCCAAGAACAGGUUGAAGCAUCUAAUUCUCAAGGGUUUUCGGGCUGGGAUGCGUGAACUCCAUAUUCCAUCUCUUCAUUUCAGGACUCCCAGCUGAGAAUGGUUUGUGAUCAGGAGCAUUCGGGAUCUGGUAGUACUCAUAUGAGAUGCAUGUACCACAUCCAACAACAAAAAAAAAAACCCAGCAGCUUGUUGUUUAAUGGCCUUGCUGUAAGGACGCUGGCAGGCAGCACGCUGCUGGCACGCUGCUCCCUGUAGUUUAGGAGGGUAGUCAAGGCCAGGAGAUUUAGGGGCUUAUUAAAGGCACUGCGGCUUCAGGCACUCCUGCUAGCUAGCAGUCACCUAGUGAAUAAGAAAGACUAAGAAAGAGUCUUCAGGGCGUUGCUGAGUGCUGUUAUUCCUGUGCUUUGUGCAGCCUCUUUCUUGUGGCCAGAGUGAUUCUGACCUUCCGAGUUAGGCUUUCCCACUUUGUGAUAUUUUUCUAGUAUUUGAAUCCUUUUUCCAACAGCUUAUUUGCAUGCUUUCCAAUCAUGUUUCAUUUCAUGUUUCAUUUAGGAUUGGAUACGGUCAGAAGCUUGAGAUAAAAGACUCUAAUAGAAGUCUGUCUUAAUCACAAAAUGGGACUGGAAGCUGUUGGGACCAGUUGGGACCGGUGGUGGGCAAAACAAGUGUUUUGUCCACUCUUGCAGUCUUCCUAGAGUAAAGUGGAGGUCUCUGUCUGCUUUAGGAGAGCCAACUAAACUGGAUCGUUCCCCUCCAUACAUGUUUUAUGCCAAAAUGCGCGGGGACAGCUUGUUCUGCUGCCAGCUCGUUCCGCAGCAUGGAAAGGGCCAUUGGGCAACCCAAAGCUGUGUGUAAUUGCUUAGAGCUAGGCUAGCCCUCUAGUUUAAAGCAAGAUUAUAAUCGUAGCUAUUGCCCUUUUUUUUUUAAUGUCCUCAUUUGGUUUAUAGGUGGAAGUGAUUAAUUCCCUCUGGAGAGAUGCACAGGCAUGGGACAGGGCUCCUAGGCUUCUCUUCCCUCUCAAUUCUUCCUGCUGCUUCAUGAAGCAGUAAUUUGCUGCAAGCCAGGCUUUCACUUGUGAUUGGAAAUGACUGUGCAAAACCCCAUCAAAGCUGUUCACAUCCCUGAGUCGUUUAAAAUAUAUAUGGAUAUGUAUACCUAAGAGGCACUUUGGAGCACGAGAGCUCCCUAGGAUGCCAGGAGCCAUUGCAGUCGUUGCUGGAGUCCCCAGAUGGGACCUAGGGAAUCUUCAGCUGAACUUGCCACGUUUGUCUGCCCGGAGAGCCCACAGACUGAAAGGAAAAGCGAGGAGGAUGAAAUUGCUCUCUCCGGGGUUUCGGAUGAUUAUUAAGUGCUGGCCUACUGCCUGGUUCCUGUCACUGUCUGCAGAAGUGAGACAGAUCUGGAAGAGGUGGCUGCAGCUGUACAGCUGAAAAGUUGUGCUUUUAAUUGCUAACUAAUUAAAGUUACCAUUUGCAUUUGGGGUUUUCCUUUUUUAAAGAAUGACAUGAUAUUGUACGUGAAACUGCUAGCACUGCUUAUUUAGAGCACAACUGAACCGGGAACUUUCUCUCGCUGUUUUGCUGGUGCAUCUGGGUCUCACCUAUUGCGUGCUUUGCUUUGCCAUCUGGAUCUUAUGACUUCUCCACUGGUAGCCCUUGUCCUUCUAGUCCUUGACUCCCCUCUCUCUGGGCGUAUGAUGCAGUAAUGUUUUCCCUUUUGUCUUUGUAAACAAUAGGCAGUCAGACUAAUAGUGCAAGUACAAAGUCAAGGGAGCUUUGCAGAUUCAGCUUGACAACUCCUCUUUGAAUUAUUUAAAGACCUCAGACAAAAAAAGCCCAUCAAGAUUUUCGGAUGACUUCUCAUCUAGUAUUGUGGAGAAUACCUGGAGUCCAACGUGCUAAUUGCUGCUAACAGUCAGGGUACAAUUAAGGUACUGGAGCUGGUAUGAAGGCUUUUCUCAAGGCUUGAGGUACUUGGUCCUGCUGAUACGCUGCAGUGUUCAUCUGGGAUCUUCAGUGGGACAAGAAACCGAAACCACCUUGAUGUUCCUCCCCAAAACCACCAUGUUUGUUUGUUUGUUUUCCCAUGUAUGGACUUCCAAGGACAUUUUUGAGACGCUGGGAACACCGGUGAACUGUCUGCCAUCAACAUUAACUCCACAGACUUUGCUGCUGCUGGUGGUGGUAUGGUUGUCUAAUUUUUAUGAUAGGAAAACAAAUUCUUUUAAAUAAAAACAAAAAGGAAUAAUAAAAUUUAUUGAGCCACAAGCUGAAGCGGGAAGAUUCUCUCUUGUUGCAUAUGGGAACAGAUUUACUGGGGAAGGGAGCUUACCGGACCACACAGGGCUAUCCUCAGUUGCACAUCUCCACUCAUCUUUAUCUGGACCGUUCCUUCAUCCCUGUUGGCAUAAAGUCUCUAAGCCUUACCUGGACGUGCAAGCAAUUCGCUUUCAGAUAUGGUUGAGUUGUUCCUUUGAUUUUAUUUUUUAGAUGCAUUAAAUGUUGAGAAAUGUCACCCAGGUUGACACCGCUGGAGACUAAAGUCCGUUGGUUACCCAGAAGAGAAGGGCAGCUUCCCCUUCUUCUUCCCUUUAUGCCCCUGCUCUGGCCCUAAGGGGCUGCUCCAAAGGAGAGGAGUAAGUCAGCCUUUCACCCACGUGAACCCGGUCCUCUGCUGCCUGCCACCAACUGUGCAGAAGUGACGUGAGCUGCAGCUGCCUGGGACCUGGACUGUCCUCACUGAAACGUCGUGGAGAGGUGACCUCAUUGACACUGAGCUGACUGCCUUUGACUAUAUCAGCUAGAGGAGAAAGUAUCUUGAUCCAGUUACCAAAGCCCUGCACCACUCGUCUCCCGUGUGGUCCGCUGACGUUUGCCCCUCUGCAAACCACCAAUGGAAGCUGAGCGUUGUGAAUGCUGUAAUAAGAGAGGGGAUGGAGUUGGUUUGUAAUGUGUUUCAGAGCCAUGAUAUAAGUAGCCUUAUUUUUAAUGGUCAUACAUACACUUAAUUGUACAUAUGGAGGGGGAAUAAACCAUGAUGCUAAGA